AGUGAACGCUGGCGGUAGGCCUAGCACAUGCAAGUCGAACGGCAGCACAGUAAGAGCUUGCUCUUACGGGUGUCGAGUGGCGGACGGGUGAGGAAUACAUCGGAAUCUACUUUUUCGUGGGGGAUAACGUAGGGAAACUUACGCUAAUACCGCAUACGACCUACGGGUGAAAGCAGGGGAUCUUCGGACCUUGCGCGAUUGAAUGAGCCGAUGUCGGAUUAGCUAGUUGGCGGGGUAAAGGCCCACCAAGGCGACGAUCCGUAGCUGGUCUGAGAGGAUGAUCAGCCACACUGGAACUGAGACACGGUCCAGACUCCUACAGGAGGCAGCAGUGGGGAAUAUUGGACAAUGGGCGAAAGCCUGAUCCAGCCAUACCGCGUGGGUGAAGAAGGACUUCGGGUUGGAAAGCCCUUUUGUUGGGAAAGAAGAGCAGCAGGUUAAUACCCCACUGUUCUGACGGUACCCAAAGAAUAAGCACCGGCUAACUUCGUG
rnacentral:rRNA from 1 species